rnacentral:rRNA from 1 species
UGGGGAAUUUUGGACAAUGGGGGAAACCCUGAUGCAGCCAUCCCGCGUGUGCGAUGAAGGCCUUCGGGUUGUAAAGCACUUUUGGCAGGAAAGAAACGUCAUGGGUUAAUACCCCGUGAAACUGACGGUACCUGCAGAAUAAGCACCGGCUAACUACGUGCCAGCAGCCGCGGUAAUACGUAGGGUGCAAGCGUUAAUCGGAAUUACUGGGCGUAAGGCGUGCGCAGGCGGUUCGGAAAGAAAGAUGUGAAAUCCCAGAGCUCAACUUUGGAACUGCAUUUUUAACUACCGGGCUAGAGUGUGUCAGAGGGAGGUGGAAUUCCGCGUGUAGCAGUGAAAUGCGUAGAGAUGCGGAGGAACACCGAUGGCGAAGGCAGCCUCCUGGGAUAACACUGACGCUCAUGCACGAAAGCGUGGGGAGCAAACAGG